rnacentral:rRNA from 1 species
AUACGGAGGGUGCGAGCGUUGUUCGGAAUCACUGGGCGUAAAGGGCGCGCAGGCGGUCUGUCAAGUCAGAUGUGAAAGCCCACGGCUCAACCGUGGACGUGCAUCUGAAACUGGCAGACUCGAGUACCGGAGGGGAAAGUGGAAUUCCCGGUGUAGAGGUGAAAUUCGUAGAUAUCGGGAGGAAUACCGGAGGCGAAGGCGACUUUCAGGACGGAUACUGACGCUGAGGCGCGAAAGCGUGGGGAGCGAACAGGAUUAGAAACCCUAGUAGUCC